ACAAUACACACAUAAAACUGUCAAAAUGCACAUGUACAUUCAGUAUACAUGGCUUCAUAAAGUGAUUAAAUGGAAUUAGGCAGUUCAAUUUCAUUAGAAAAUGCAGGCUAUUCCAUUUACAUGGGGCAUAAUAUUCAAAUGCAGUUUUGCCUAAUUCUGUCCUAACAAAUGAAAUAUUCAACACCAAGGAAUCACUG